GAUGAACGCUAGCGGCAGGCUUAACACAUGCAAGUCGAGGGGUAUUGGUUUUUCGGACCAAGAGACCGGCGCACGGGUGCGUAACGCGUAUGCAAUCUACCUUUUGCAGAGGGAUAGCCCCAGAGAAAUUUGGAUUAAUACCUCAUAGUAUAGUACUUUGGCAUCAAGGAACUAUUAAAGUCACAACGGCAAAGAUGAGCAUGCGUCCAUUAGCUAGUUGGUAAGGUAACGGCUUACCAAGGCUACGAUGGGUAGGGGUCUGAGAGGGAGAUCCCCACACUGGUACUGAGACACGGACCAGACUCCUACGGGAGGCAGCAGUGAGGAAUAUUGGACAAAUGGGCGCAAGCCUGAUCCAGCCAUGCCGCGUGCAGGAUGACGGUCCUAUGGAUUGUAAACUGCUUUUA
rnacentral:rRNA from 1 species